CUUCUAGCUCGUCCUGGGAGCUGCGUGGGCCGAGCAGCAUUGAGGUCGACAGUAAGGACAUCUGGAGGGUCCAUGGGGUUCCCGAGGUACAGACUGGAGGGAAGCCCCAGCAGCGGUGAGGGUUAGAGUCUCCAUGUCCCGUGUGUAUGAAGCUGUUCUUCAGUGGCCUGCUGAUGUCAUGAGCCGACAAACCUGCAACUGAUGUCACCACGUUUCUGGGGAACUGUCCCAGCUUCAGGGUCCGCUUGUUUUGACCUCGCCACCAGAAGUUCUCUGCGCUGAAGGAACGGAAUAACAGAAAAUGAAACAGAGCAAAACUGCUGUGUUAAACAGCAAUGAAGCUGGCCUGGGAGGAAGAUGUUUUGGAUAACACAUCAAAUAAUGACAUUUCUUUCACCCACCUUCCCUCGAUGAUAGUGAUGACAUCAUUGAUCUGGAUGUGGAGUUUGUCAGACUCAUCAAAGUCCUGCAGAGCACACAUGUCUGUGGGCAUGGUCUGAAAAACACACACAUACACAGAUUAUCUUUUAAGAAUGGAGCAUAUCUAGAAGCAAGUACUUAAACUCCUUCACACUGAAGGCAUUGUCAGUUUGCAGUUUAACCCCACCAGGUGGAGCUAGUACUCCACUUAAACUACAUUAAAACAAAUGAGAGAACCCUGGAUUUCCACAGAGGUUGGAUUAUUACAAUAAAGGCUCUUGGUUCCAGUGGACAUGGAUGUAAAAAAAGGGCCAAAAAAUAUGGUGUGCUCUUGUCAAAUAGAAUAAAGGUCUCCCUAACUCCCUCAUGUUUUACCCCUUGCUGUUACUCAGAUAAUAGUUAUCGUACCUCCAGCAGGAACUCCCGCAGGGCAACAAACGUUGGUCUGUCAUCUGAUUUCUGAGCCCAGCACUGCAGCAUGACGUUAUAGAUCUCCUGUGGACAGUCUUCAGGCUUAGGGAGACGCUCACCUUCUUUAUCAAUCUUG